rnacentral:lncRNA from 1 species
UGAUUCGAAGAUUUUAAUUGUUGUUUCUGAUGUUUUUGAUUCGGUAUGUUUCGUUUUAAGAUUGAUGGAUGAAGAACAUUUUGUUUGAAUAAGUUUGUUUCAAUUAAGAACAAACUGUUUUAAGACAGAUGGAUCAGGAAUGGUUAAUGCUAUGUAAUAGAUUGCAGUAUAAUAGAUUGAUUACCCUUGAUUUGUUAGUUGUUUGGCUUCUUUGUAUGAAAUACUUUUUGUUUCUGUCUUUCUGUUUACAUAUAGCAAGAUCAAGGUUCAUCGACCAAAGGUUCAGAGCAAAAUUAAGGUUAGUGUUACUCUGUUUUUUGGUUGUGGAAACUAAUUGCUUUAAGUUCCGGUUUGAAUUGAAUCGAGUGUAAUAAAUGUGUUGGUUUGAGUUAGAAAAUGGUUGUGUGAUAAACAAAAUUGAUGGCUAGGUAGAAAAUGG